AGUGAUUAGUUGCAGUGUUUAAUUGUGUAUGAAAAGAAUGUUUCUUAAAUUGUUUAUCGUGAAACACGCGCUUUAGCUAAAAUACAAAACCUCGGCGAAAGCGCUUGCUUCGAAUGCGUUUCACACAAGCGGCAGUGGGGAAACUAUCGGCGACGUGACUCGACGACCGUGUAAGCGGCCAUCUCGGGAGUCCGGCACCCACACGUAUCUAUCGCAGAGCUGUAUCCCUCCAGGGACGAGACCAGACGCGCCCGAGCCAACCAGCCGCCGAUCUCGUCACGAGGACUGCAGCCCAUCUGAAGCGACGGUGAAUACUUUGUUUUAUUCACGAAUAAAGACCCAAUUAUUGUAUAA